UGCACUUUUAAAAAUGCACUUUUUAAUACUGUCUAAUUAAGCUUAACUUAUAGUAAGUACACUUUCAUCACAAUAUUUCUUAACAUACUUAAGUACACUUUUUAAAAAUGCACUUUGUCUAAUUUAGUUUUACUUAAAUGUAACCCUGGUUAAAUAAUUAAAUAUUAUUAUUUUAAAAGUGUGCUUAAAUAUAAUAGAGACUAUUCAUACAUCUACCUUUAUUUUAUAAAUGAGGAAAUACAUGUGAAUAAUUCAAUCUGAAUUAUAAAUCUGAAAUGAGUAAACCAAUCGGAGUGUUUAAUUGUAAGCUCCGCCCCUUUUUUGCUUUCGGAUCGCGUCUCAGUUCAGAGGAGAGAUGCAGAGCGACAGAGACACUCUAUCUAACGCGAGAGUGUUUAAUUUGAUUAAAUAUGACUCCUAAGUUCAUAUAAACUGAAGAAAUCAGAAUUUAACUUGCAUAUAUUCAAUGAUACAGCGUGAUUGUGUGGAUUGAGCACUUUUUGAGCUUUCAUUUUGACCUGUGUGAUUAUGUAAAACCACAUGGUGCGUUGUGUUCACUGCUGUUCGCUGACGCCAUUUUGGUUGCACGUGCCUGUGAAAGACAAAAAGAGAGAGAAACACGUGAAUGGACAGCUGGAUUUUCCUAAUUGAUGGCGAGCCUCCCAUUUCGACCUGAUUGGAUCACGAAUCUAGAGGAAAGGACAAAUUUCUAUUUUAAAUAUUUUUCUUUAGACAAGUAAGAGUAUACAUUUCAGAAACUGUUUUCUUAUUUUUUGUUUGUUUACUUCAUUGAACUGAAACAUUUCAGAAGCACAAAUCUGAUAAUUUAAGACUGAUCAAUACUCCAAUUGAUAAGAACUUUGAACUUGAAUACGGAUUUCAGUGUGUUACAUAUAUAAUUUGUACCAUCUUUGUACAUUGAUUGUGACUGUGAUUUCUGUAAAUGAGAAGUAAUUUAGAGGGUGCACCCAUAGUAUAUAUCCCCCUUCUUCAAAUCUUACCCUGGAGGUCCGGAGCACUACAGAGUCUGCGUCCGAAACCGCAUACUGUAUAGUAGGUACUGAAUUUGAUGAAGUACCUACUUACUUGGCGUUAAAACUGUAGGUACUGUAUAGUAUGAAUCCUGGUAGUAUGAAUGAGAUUCGGACGUACUACAUCCGCCAUGUUGCUACAUCACGUGACAUACGUCGUCAUCACGUCAUGUCAUUUCAGCGUGAAAACAGCCGCGUGCCUCUUCUUCUUCGUUGGACAACUCCUCGUCCGGGGCAUCAUGGGAUAGUGAAGCGUCCAUCGUAUGCACACUGCAAAAUCUAACCGGAAGUAGUAGGUCAUCCGGGUACUUUUCGCAUACUGUUUUUCGAAUACUAUGUAUUCGGACAUACUACUCGCCUCGCCUACUGCUUUUCGCGUACUAUAUAGUAUGUAGUAGGCGGUUUCGGACGCAGCAAGAGUUUAGCUCCAACCCUGAUCAAACACACCUGAGCAAGCUAAUCAAGGUCUUCAUGAUCACUAGGAAAUCACAGGUGGGUAAGUUUGAUUAGGGUUGGAGCUAAACUCUGUAGUGCUCUGGACCUCCAGGGUAAGAUUUGAGGAACCCUGGUAUAUAUAGUUAAUUGUAUUUUCAUUGUUGUUUACUAUUUUUUUGUGAUUAAGGAAAGAAAAAGAAAGGUUUCUCAAUACUCAAAGUAAAAUAAUUUAUUAAUCAACUUACCUUCUGUCUCUGCUUGUUGCUCACUAUCACUGCUACCUCCUCCUUCGUACCGUGCACCCUUCUGAUCUUAUUAUUAUGCCUGGUCCAUAAGUAAGUGAGUUAAUACCCGCUACAUAAAGAAAGUACACUUUCAUGGCAAUAUUUCUAAACGCAUUUAAUAAAUGAUCAUUAGACUGA